GGGGCUGUAGCUCAGUGGUGGAGUGCAUGCCUGUCAUGCUUGAGGCACUGGGUUUGAUCCUUAGCACCA
rnacentral:tRNA from 1 species